rnacentral:rRNA from 1 species
AUGUUUUUUUCUGAUGCGGCUUUAUUUCAUGACUUCAACAAGUCUGGGGCUGGUGUAGUAGCUCUGGACCAUAUGGGUCAAUGCAUCAAGGCAUGUACCGAAGUGUUGUCUGGUUCUCUCACACCCGAGAUGGCCGAAGCUUUGGCUCUUCGCAGAGCAGUUGACAUGGCGCGAGAGGACCACCUUUUCCAUGUGAUCUUUGCCACUGAUUGCCUCUCUUUGGUGCAAAGGCUGAAAUCCAAAGCCCAUGAUCGUUCUGUUGUUGGUUCCGUCAUUGAUGAUAUCAAGAUGGCAACUCUAGGCUUCUCCUCGGUUUCGUUUUUGCAUGUUCGUCGGCAAUGUAAUGUGUUGGCUCAUGUUUUAGCUAGGUCUUGUUUUAACUCUUCUGGUCUUUGUGUUUUCAAUUCUGCUCCGGAGUGUAUCCAGGAGGCUUUGUAUGACUUUGUUUUUUAG